ensembl:lncRNA
GGAAAAGAAAGCCAAAUCAAACGUGUUUCUACGUGUAGGGGAACUGUUGAGUCAUGGCCUGAACCACUGAUUGAGCACCUGGGGAAAGGACCCGGUCAGCACUGAGAGCACCCGUGAAGGCAAUUCAGCUGUGUGACAGGAAGGGAUGGAGUCUGGCUGCACCUCUCUUUGACCUCAUUUAAGGGCUGACUGCCACUGGGGAAGGAUCUCUUUCUGGAGAUCUGUCCUUGGUGAAGCUUUCCCCUGUGAACCUGGAGUCUUCUGGUACAGCCAUAAGUGAGAUGACUGACUUAAGAGGAUCACUGGCUAAAAAACCAUCAGAAAUCAAACUUCAGCAGGCAUGAAGAGUACAGUCAGUAUGAAGCAAGCAGUGGCCUCAAGGGAGCAGCAUGAAGGCAAGGCGAGCACACGGUGAUACUUUUCAGAGUCCUCUCCCAGAUUUCAGUGAUCUGCAGCAGAGUGGAGGUCUUGCAGCGUGCUUAGCUUGCUCAAAUCUAAGUGCUCUCGUCAUGGUGCUGUUUGAAAGAACUAAGCUUCCAUCACUUGAAAAAUGGUGUGAACGUGGGGGUCGGGCUGGAUGGAGAACAACAUAUAAGAAAACUCAGAGCAGUGCUGCAAUUCAGUUUAAACCUUGAUUGGAAAAGGCCAUUCAUUUGUAGUCUGCUGAGUUUAAGAAGCAGAAAAAUACAAGGUACUUCAGCUAUAGAGACGAAAAUCUUAUUUGAGCUUUAUAAUUGAGAAGGUUGUGAAAGUAGACACAAUGACAUAUUCCUGACUCUGAUGGGAAACAAACAUACGUGCUUUCUAGACCUACGUCCAUCCAUUGGGGAGCUAUGAUAGUGCCACCAAAGAUGAGCAGCAGCAUGUUCACCACAGCCUUGCUCCCCAAAAAGGGACAGCAUCCCUCAGAGAACCUCUCCAAAGCAUACACAAGCUGGUGAACUAUGCAGCAUUAUUCAAAACUGCCCCCUUCUAGGAUAGCGGCGAUUAAAGCACACUCUAAAAUGAUUAUAUGGAAGUUGCCC